rnacentral:rRNA from 1 species
UACGGGGGGGGCAAGCGUUGUUCGGAAUUACUGGGCGUAAAGGGCGCGUAGGUGGCCAACUAAGUCAGACGUGAAAUCCCUCGGCUUAACCGGGGAACUGCGUCUGAUACUGGAUGGCUUGAGUUUGGGAGAGGGACGCGGAAUUCCAGGUGUAGCGGUGAAAUGCGUAGAUAUCUGGAGGAACACCGGUGGCGAAGGCGGCAUCCUGGACCAACACUGACACUGAGGAGCGAAAGCCAGGGGAGCAAACGGG